rnacentral:rRNA from 1 species
AUGUGUCCGAAUAGCUACUGGCAGUAUUUUGUUUGGUGUCAUGCGUUUUUCCCUGCUGGACAAAAGUAUUAUACUGUUGGCUUGGCUGCUGCCUGCUGGGCCAUUUGGCUUGCCAGGAAUCGUGCUACUUUCGGAAAGAAGCAGAUCAAAACACCCUUUGAGAUAGUCUUCUCUUUGUGUUCUUUUUUGUUAUACUGGGCAGGUCUACAGCAGGAGGAAGGCGCCAAGGAGCUGCGAAGUGGUGCUGAGAUGAUCAGGUUGAGCACGAUGCGCUUGAUGGGGAUGUGCAAUGCUGCGAGAGUGCCGAUCGGAGGAGACUGA